GGAGGGAUCGCAUAGUGGUUUAGUGCGGCGGUUUCGAAAACCGCUGUCAGGAGUAAUCCUGACCGGGAGUUCGAAUCUCCCUCCCUCCG
rnacentral:tRNA from 1 species